UACGUAGGGUGCGAGCGUUAAUCGGAAUUACUGGGCGUAAAGCGUGCGCAGGCGGCUUUGCAAGACAGAUGUGAAAUCCCCGGGCUCAACCUGGGAACUGCAUUUGUGACUGCAAGGCUAGAGUACGGCAGAGGGGGAUGGAAUUCCGCGUGUAGCAGUGAAAGGCGUAGAUAUGCGGAGGAACACCAAUGGCGAAGGCAAUCCCCUGGGCCUGUACUGACGCUCAUGCACGAAAGCGUGGGGAGCAAACAGG
rnacentral:rRNA from 1 species